GAAACAAAACAUCAACAUCUAAACCUAGUAAGUCAAUUGAGUUUAUUAACUGAACAUUCAGAAAUAAUGUUUUCUAAAAUAAUAAAAUGCAAUGUUGCUCUAUCAUUUACAUAACAAUUAAACAAGUAAAUAUAAUAAACAGCUGUUGUUUUAAACAUUGUGUGAACAUUAAAACAUGACAUUGUCAUAACGUUUAAAAAUGGUAAAAUGUAACAUUACUCUAACGUUCAGACAACAGAAACGUUCCUAGAACUUAAAAAAAAACUGGACACUUUUAACGUUGGCAGAAUGUUUUUGGGAACAUUGGGAACUUUCAGGGAACGUUCUUAGAACUUUUUAUUUCUAGCUGGGAUAAUGCUAACCAAAUUUAGUUUGAUAAAUUUCUAAGGACACAUAAUUACAUAAUGCCAAAGUAACUAUAUGCAAGUACAUGAAUGUCAAGAAUAAAAUCCUGAAAUUUACUUUGUCAUUCCAAUCUCAUGUAACAUAGGCCCUAUUUACACAUGGCAUUGGAUGAGUCUUGAGACCACAUUUGCUUUAAGGGGAAAGGGACAGCACACUACUUACUAUGAUAAUGAGUAAUGACUUUGCAAAAAAAGUGUUGGGGGAAGGAUGUAUUAUUACAGUGUUUUUGUUGUUUAUUAAUAGUUUAAUGUCAUGCCACCUACCCAGCUAGAAUUAUGAAUACAAAUAAAAGAUGAAAAAUGAAACAUUUAUUCUUGAUAAAUAUUCUAAAAUUAAAUCUGGUCUUACAAAAUAGGUGCAGUUCACCUGCCGAAUCAAGCACUGUCUCUUCUUCCAUUGCAGUUCUUCAUAGUACAAGAGACGGCUGACCAAACAUCACACCAUAGAGGCUCAAUUCUAAAAAAAAAAGAGAGAAGUAUGGUCAAAUCGUAGCUUAUUUAAAAAAAUUUGUCCAUAGUAAAUCAUCAUGUGAAGUAUUAUGGAAACCAAAUUAGUGGCAUUUCAACAUUAAGGGCAGAUAGGCUGAAUACCACCAGUCGUCAUUUACUCACCAUCAAGUCGUUCCAAACCCUUAAGACUUUUGUUCAUCUUCUGAACACAAGUAAAGAUCUUUAAAAUGUUAUCUUUUCAAAGAGAGCUUUCUGUCUCACCAGUAACAGCAAACAUGACUACCACUUUCAAGGAUACACAUAUCUGAGAUUACUCACGGCUCUGUUGUCUCUGAUCAACACACUCGACUCCCGGCUCGCCCACCCGUUUCACACUCGGAGGCUUCCAAUAUCAUCAACACAGUGAGUGCAAUUCGCCCAGACUGUUGUCCACACACAGCGGUCUCCAACACUCGCCCACUGUUAUCUCCUCUUGCAACGACUCAGCCCGCAGACACUACCAGCGAUCUUUUCAGCACAAACGAACACUUCAACUUCCUUCAACCAACCACGCUGUCCUUUCUCCCAGACCAGCCCCGCACUCUUUCCGCUGAUGAUGCUUGCUAUGCUAUUUCAUAUUACCCAAGAAAGACGGUUUGAAGCUGAGGAGUCUGUACAGGCACAGGACUGACAACUUGAGGUUUUAUCUUGAAGACAUUGUUCAAUAAAAAAACUUUUAUUUA